rnacentral:rRNA from 1 species
GUGGGGAAUAUUGGACAAUGGGCCACAAGCCUGAUCCAGCAAUUCUGUGUGCACGAUGAAGGUCUUCGGAUUGUAAAGUGCUUUCAGUUGGGAAGAAGAAAGUGACGGUACCAACAGAAGAAGCGACGGCUAAAUACGUGCCAGCAGCCGCGGUAAUACGUAUGUCGCAAGCGUUAUCCGGAUUUAUUGGGCGUAAAGCGCGUCUAGGCGGAAAAAUAAGUCUGAUGUUAAAAUGCGGGGCUCAACUCCGUAUUGCGUUGGAAACUGUUUUUCUAGAGUACUGGAGAGGUGGGCGGAACUACAAGUGUAGAGGUGAAAUUCGUAGAUAUUUGUAGGAAUGCCGAUGGAGAAGUCAGCUCACUGGACAGAUACUGACGCUAAAGCGCGAAAGCGUGGGGAGCAAACAGGAUUAGAAACCCUUGUAGUCC